GAUGAACGCUGGCGGCGUGCCUAAUACAUGCAAGUAGAACGCUGAAGCUUGGUGCUUGCACCGAGCGGAUGAGUUGCGAACGGGUGAGUAACGCGUAGGUAACCUGCCUCUUAGCGGGGGAUAACUAUUGGAAGCGAUAGCUAAUACCGCAUAAAAGACGAUAUCGCAUGAUAUUGAUUUGAAAGGUGCAAAUGCAUCACUAAGAGAUGGACCUGCGUUGUAUUAGCUAGUUGGUGAGGUAACGGCUCACCAAGGCAACGAUACAUAGCCGACCUGAGAGGGUGAUCGGCCACACUGGGACUGAGACACGGCCCAGACUCCUACGGGAGGCAGCAGUAGGGAAUCUUCGGCAAUGGGGGCAACCCUGACCGAGCAACGCCGCGUGAGUGAAGAAGGUUCUCGGAUCGUAAAGCUCUGUUGUAAGAGAAGAACGAGUGUGAGAGUGGAAAGUUCACACUGUGACGGUAACUUACCAGAAAGGGACGGCUAACUACGUGCCAGCAGCCGCGGUAAUACGUAGGUCCCGAGCGUUAUCCGGAUUUAUUGGGCGUAAAGCGAGCGCAGGCGGUUAGAUAAGUCUGAAGUUAAAGGCUGUGGCUUAACCAUAGUACGCUUUGGAAACUGUUUAACUUGAGUGCAGAAGGGGAGAGUGGAAUUCCAUGUGUAGCGGUGAAAUGCGUAGAUAUAUGGAGGAACACCGGUGGCGAAAGCGGCUCUCUGGUCUGUAACUGACGCUGAGGCUCGAAAGCGUGGGGGGCAAACAGG
rnacentral:rRNA from 1 species